rnacentral:rRNA from 1 species
UAACGAAUAUUGGGCAAUGGGCGAAAGCCUGACCCAGCAAUGCCGCGUGCAGGACGAAGUCCUUCGGGAUGUAAACUGCUGUCAGGGGUCCGCAAGCGAAGGGGUCCAACAGGCCCUGGAGUUGAGCAGCCCCAGAGGAAGCCUCGACUAACUCUGUGCCAGCAGUCGCGGUAAGACAGAGGAGGCAAGCGUUGUUCGGAAUUAUUGGGCGUAAAGAGCGUGUAGGCGGCUUGGUAAGUCAGAUGUGAAAGCCCUGGGCUUAACCCAGGAAGUGCAUUUGAAACUGCCUAGCUUGAGUAAGGGAGAGGUGCCUGGAACUCUAGGUGGAGCGGUGAAAUGCGUAGAUAUCUAGAGGAACGCCAGAAGCGAAAGCGGGGCACUGGGCCGAUUCUGACGCUGAGACGCGAAAGCGUGGGGAGCAAACA